rnacentral:lncRNA from 1 species
UGCUUCUUGGUGCUGGGGAUUUUAUUGUUUCCAGUUUGGGGAUCUCUGUUGUACCCUUCCGUCUUCAGGUGGGGUGACUGAUUCCAAAAUCUAGAGCUGAAUGUAUUCCCGCAUUAUACUGGUGGGCGACCUAGAACUUAAAAGUAUUCCCGCAUUAUACUGGUGGGUGACCUAGAACUUAAAUGUAUUCCCGCAUUAUACUGGUGGGCGACCUAGAACUUAAAUGUAUUCCCGCAUUAUACUGGUGGGCGACCUAGAACUUAAAUGUAUUCCC